rnacentral:rRNA from 1 species
GCCUUGGCAGUCAGAGGCGAUGAAGGACGUAGUAACCUGCGAUAAGCGUUGGUAAGCUGGUAAACAAGCUUUGACCCAACGAUUUCCGAAUGGGGAAACCCAUCUAACAUAAGUUAGAUAUCUUGCACUGAAUACAUAGGUGUAAGAAGCAAACCCGGAGAACUGAAACAUCUAAGUACCCGGAGGAAAAGAAAUCAACCGAGAUUCCCUUAGUAGCGGCGAGCGAACGGGGAUUAGCCGAUGAUUAUUGAAUUAGUGGAACGCUCUGGGAAGUGCGGCCAUAGUGGGUGAUAGCCCCGUACACGAAGAUUCAAUAGUCACAUAUUAAGUAGGACGGGACACGUGUUAUCUUGUCUGAAGAUGGGGGGACCAUCCUCCAAGGCUAAAUACUCCUGACUGACCGAUAGUGAACCAGUACCGUGAGGGAAAGGCGAAAAGAACCCCUGUGAGGGGAGUGAAAUAGAUCCUGAAACCGUAUGCGUACAAGCAGUGGGAGCAGACUUGUUCUGUGACUGCGUACCUUUUGUAUAAUGGGUCAGCGACUUAAUUUUAGUAGCAAGGUUAACCGUAUAGGGGAGCCGUAGGGAAACCGAGUCUUAAUAGGGCGUUUAGUUGCUAGGAUUAGACCCGAAACCGAGUGAUCUAGCCAUGAGCAGGUUGAAGAUCAGGUAACACUGAUUGGAGGACCGAACCCACUUAUGUUGAAAAAUGAGGGGAUGACUUGUGGCUAGGAGUGAAAGGCUAAUCAAACUCGGAGAUAGCUGGUUCUCCUCGAAAGCUAUUUAGGUAGCGCCUCGUGUAUCACCCUGGGGGGUAGAGCACUGUUUGGGCUAGGGGGUCAUCCCGACUUACCAACCCCAUGCAAACUCCGAAUACCCAGGAGUGCGAUCACGGGAGACACACGGCGGGUGCUAACGUCCGUCGUGGAGAGGGCAACAACCCAGACCGCCAGCUAAGGUCCCAAAGUUACAGUUAAGUGGGAAACGAUGUGGGAAGGCUUAGACAGCUAGGAGGUUGGCUUAGAAGCAGCCAUCCUUUAAAGAAAGCGUAAUAGCUCACUAGUCGAGUCGGCCUGCGCGGAAGAUUUAACGGGGCUCAAACUGUACACCGAAGCUGCGGAUAUCUUUUAGAUAUGGUAGAGGAGCGUUCUGUAAGCUGAUGAAGCUCAAUUGAGAAGUUGGGUGGAGGUAUCAGAAGUGCGAAUGCUGACAUGAGUAACGACAAAGGGGGUGAAAAACCCCCUCGCCGGAAGACCAAGGGUUCCUGCGCAACGUUAAUCGGCGCAGGGUGAGUCGGCCCCUAAGGCGAGGCUGAGAAGCGUAGUCGAUGGGAAACAGGUUAAUAUUCCUGUACUUGUAUAUAUUGCGAUGGGGAGACGGAGAAAGCUAAACCAGCAUGGCGACGGUUGUCCAUGUUUAAGGUUGUAGGCUGAGGACUUAGGCAAAUCCGGGUCCUUAAGGCUGAGAACUGAUGACGAGAUCUCUUUUAGAGAUUGAAGUGGUUGAUGCUCUGCUUCCAGGAAAAACCUCUAAGCUUCAGAUAUAUAGGAACCGUACCCCAAACCGACACAGGUGGUCAGGUAGAGAAUACCAAGGCGCUUGAGAGAACUCGGGUGAAGGAACUAGGCAAAAUGGUACCGUAACUUCGGGAGAAGGUACGCCGAUUUUGGUGAUCAGACUUGCUCUGUAAGCUGAGGUCGGCCGAAGAUACCAGUUGGCUGCGACUGUUUAUUAAAAACACAGUACUCUGCAAACACGAAAGUGGACGUAUAGGGUAUGACACCUGCCCGGUGCCGGAAGGUUAAUUGAUGGGGUUAGCGUAUGCGAAGCUCUUGAUCGAAGCCCCGGUAAACGGCGGCCGUAACUAUAACGGUCCUAAGGUAGCGAAAUUCCUUGUCGGGUAAGUUCCGACCUGCACGAAUGGUGUAACGAUGGCCAAGCUGUCUCCACCCGAGACUCAGUGAAAUUGAAAUCGCUGUUAAGAUGCAGCG